UGAGGAAUAUUGGGCAAUGCCCGAAAGGGUGACCCAGCAACGCCGCGUGGAGGAUGAAGGUCGUAAGAUUGUAAACUCCUGUUAGAGGGGAAGAAUAACUAAGUUUGGAGCUUAGUAUGACUGUACCCUCAGAGAAAGCCCCGGCUAACUACGUGCCAGCAGCCGCGGUAAUACGUAGGGGGCAAGCGUUGUCCCGAUUUACUGGGUGUAAAGGGCGCGCAGGCGGAAUGGAAAGUCAGUGGUGAAAUCCUACAGCUUAACCGUAGAACUGCCUUUGAUACUUUCAUUCUUGAGUUCGGGAGAGNGAGACGGAAUUCCAGGUGUAGUGGUGAAAUACGUAGAUAUCUGGAAGAACACCAGUUGCGAAGGCGGUCUCUUGGUCCGAUACUGACGCUGAGGCGCGAAAGCGUGGGGAGCAAACA
rnacentral:rRNA from 1 species